CAUGUCAAUGCGCUUUGAUGACGUGGCAACAAAUUGCGUCCACAUCAGCGCGAUUUGUGUCCACAUCAGCAAAGCGCGCUGAUGUGG
rfam:Gossypium hirsutum cultivar TM-1 chromosome 19, whole genome shotgun sequence